AUGGAAAGCACUUUGAAAAGAGGGUGAAAAGUACCUGAAACUGCCACGGGGGAAGCGGAUUGCGUGAGUGUUUGUCUACUGGUGUUCAGCUCUCGUAGUGUAUUCACCAUAGGCUGUGUUGGCAUGGCUGUUUGGCUUUGGAUUUUGCAAAGCUGGAUGGUGAGGGAUCCCUGCAAAGGUUGAGGAUGUCAACAAAAUAACGCGACCCGACCCGUCUUGAAACACGGACCAAGGAGUCUAGCACUACUGCGAGUCGAAAGGUUAUUAAACCUAGAGGCAAAGUGAAAGCGAAUAUAGGGAAAUCGAAAACAGAUUAGGGAGGUGUUGCGACAAUGUCAAAGUAUCCUACCCUGAGCAGUUGUGCUGGGACCCGAAAGAUGGUGAACUAUGCCGGAAUAGGGCAAAGCCAGAGGAAACUCUGGUGGAGGCUCGUAGCGAUGCUGACGUGCAAAUCGCUCGUCGAAUUUGGGUAUAGGGGCGAAAGACUAAUCGAACCAUCUAGUAGCUGGUUCCCUCCGAAGUUUCUCUCAGGAUAGCGGGCCGACGAUGUGUGUGUUGUUUUGUGU
rnacentral:rRNA from 1 species